rnacentral:rRNA from 1 species
CCUACGGGUGACUGCAGUGGGGAAUAUUGGGCAAUGGGCGCAAGCCUGACCCAGCAACGCCGCGUGAAGGAAGAAGGCUUUCGGGUUGUAAACUUCUUUUAUCAGGGACGAAGCAAGUGACGGUACCUGAUGAAUAAGCCACGGCUAACUACGUGCCAGCAGCCGCGGUAAUACGUAGGUGGCAAGCGUUAUCCGGAUUUACUGGGUGUAAAGGGCGGGUAGGCGGGAGGGCAAGUCAGAUGUGAAAACUAUGGGCUCAACCCAUAGCCUGCAUUUGAAACUGUACUUCUUGAGUGCUGGGGAGGCAAUCGGAAUUCCGGGUGUAGCGGUGAAAUGCGUAGAUAUAAUGAAGAACAACGAUGGCGAAGGCAGGUUGCCGGGCAGUAACGGACGCUGAGGCGGGAAAGCGUGGGGAGCAAACAGGAUUAGAUACCCUUGUAGUC